UGUGGAAACUGAGGUGAACAAAAACGUCCUCGUGGUUUCUAGUGGGGCAUUUGCACAGUAUUAGUAAUCAGGAUGAAGCCGGACACCAUGUUCUUUCUGCUUUAUGCCACUGCAUUGGUGGUUUUUGGUGUACACAAAGCUGCACAGUCAAGUCCUACUGUUCGUCUGACUGCUAAUCCUCCAUGGUCAGAAGAGUUCCCAGGAAAUACAAUUACUCUCAGCUGUCAGGUUAUUGAAUCUGAGGGAUGGACAUUUGUGUGGACCAGACGCAGACAGGGGGGUCAAACACAACUUACAGCCUACAGUAGUCGCGGCUCUGUGUCUGUGUUGGUCCUGAGUGCUGUGAGUGAGAGACAGAGCGGAAUGUAUCAGUGUGAAGCUGUAAAAGGAAAUGAGCGAGCGAUCAGUAACAUCCAUACCAUAAUA